GCUGCUUCUUCUCCGGUGACAGCCCCCGGUCCGUCCUGCAGCUCCGCGGACUCCAGAUCAGAGAGAAGCACCGGUCACUCGGACCUGCGUCUUGUGUCUUCAUCAGGAACAACGACGACGCGACGCGCUCCUCGCUGCACGCCCUCAAGAUUAUUUGCAGAUGUCCAAUCAGUCCGCCUGCUGCUCUCUCUCCCUCCCCGACUUGGACACCGGUGUCAGACAUUCUGGACAAACCAAUUGGAGAAGAGAAGCCUCCGGAUCAGUGAGUCUCAGCAUCACGAUUCGUAUUCAGAUCUGAUUAUCGAUCAGUCAGUCGGAUUGAUUUUCUCUCCGUCUGAAACCAUCAAUCAUCAACUGAUCGAUACACGAUGACAGACUGUGACGUCAUAUGAGACGAAAAAAAGAAUUAUACACAAACACACAAACACACACACACACAAACACACUCCCAGCUGUGACAGCGCCCCCUGCAGGAGGGAGGUCCUCGCGACGCUGCGGGACCUGGAGCCACUUCAGACCGGCUCCCUGGGGGCUCCUGGUCCGGGGUCCAGCUCCUGGUCCGGGGUCCAGAUGGAUCUAUCAUCUGGUUGCCAGGGAGACGGCAUUAACGCUACAGGUGACGCCGGUAUACCUCGCUCAUCGAGGCUGAGUCAGACAUGGAGGCCCAGGUGUGUCGUCUCACGGUCGACGUUCAGAAGUUGCUGCAGGCCGACAGGGAGGCUGUGGUGAGGGGGCGGAGCCUGAGCCAGCAGCUGGAUACGCUGCACGGGCAACACGUGCAGCUGCAGAGUCAGCUGCUGGAGUUGUCACUCAACAUAGGGACAGCCACGCCCCCGCCGCUUCUACGGCCUCUGACCUCAUGACCUCGGGUCAACCUGCCGGUCUGCAGGGUUGAAACGUGUGAGGAUGAUGAAACCUGGACCCCGAUGUUCUGGAUCCACCGUGUUCAUUCAACUUUUUAUAAGAAUGAUCAUAAAAGAGCAAAUCAAACUCAUUAUUUUAAUGAGCUUUUCUUGUGAAAGGAGCUCAAACGCCUCAUCUGAUCUUUGUGGAUUCAGGAAGUCGCCUUUUCCUCACCACUUGUCCUUGACCUCAGUGGAAAAGGUCACGAGGCGAAGGAAAGGUGUCGAGGAGGAUUGAUAUGACGUAGGAGAAGAGAAUCCGACUCCACUUUCACUGAACCACGUGGUCAUGUGACGGUGGAUGUUGUUGAUGUCGUGGUGAAACGACACAUUUCAGAAGAUGAACUACAAAAACCUCAGCGGCUCCGUCAGCAUGUUUCAGUGUUUUACCACCGUGUGACACCACAUGUUAUGAUUCAUAUGUAACAGUAACUGACAUGAUGACGUGCGUCUUCUUCUACUUCCGAUUUAAUCGUUUACAUUCAUGCAUGUACGCGUCACGUUACAUAUUCCCGCCCCAAUGAAUUGUGGGUCGUCUGUAUCUCCGUUUCUUUGCCACAGGAAGCUCCAGGGUGAGGUCGAAUUGUCAAAUCUGCUUGAGGAAGUUUCCUAAAUCCUGAAAUGACCCUGAAGUAUUAAGAGUAUAGUAUAAGAGCUGUUCAGAUUCUCUAAAUGCUCAGGCAAGGAGCUUCAAUGUUUCCUUUCCUGUCUCCUUUAUCGUAGGGUACGCUGGACUUUCAGUUUUCGUAGCCUAUAUUACUGUUGUUAUUUUAAUUCCCACCUUGGCAAUAGAUAAAUAUUCGCUGUCCAUGUUUAGCCUGCAAGAAUCAAUAUGUUAAAAUAAUGCACGGGGCGAAGAUGCGUUUUAUUGUAGUUCAUCUUCUGAAAUGUGUCUUUUCACCAGGACAUCAACAACAUCCACUGUCGCGUGAAUGUUCAUAUAAAACACACAUCGGCGCACGCCCGCUCCUCAUUGGUCCCUGCGGAGGCAGAUGUGUCCUGUUGCUAGGAGACCGAGUGAUGACGCUCUGUGAGGCGCAGUGAGGAAACGUUUUUAUUUAUUUUUUACGUCACGAACACAGAAAGUUUUUUUCUGUCAGUGGUGGAAACUGACUCGACAUGACUGCGGACGUUUUGCAUCUUUUUUUGUUGUUUUUAUGUUUGACCUCCUUGUUUUCAUCAUAUUGCAUCUCAGCUGUGGCGUUUGUGUCUCUGAAGUGGUUUUAUGUUUCAGUUUUUUUGUGUUUCCAUCGCAAUGUUCUUGUUUUUCUGUCCCUUCGUCACUUUCGACUUCAUCAACAAGAUGUAUUAAUACACAAAAUGUAUUAAUACAUCUUGUGUAUUAAUACAAUAUACAUGAGGGGCUCUGUGUCUGAUCAGGACCUUUACUGUGUUGAAUUGAAUUCACUGCACUCAGUAUGAUUACGUUUCUUUCUUUUGUAAAAAAAAUAAUAAAUAAUAAUAAAUAAAAUAAAAUUCACCUUUGUUUUGUUUUUCUUGACAACAACACAUCAGACUUCGUCAGGAAUGAAAAAAAAUUAAAACAAAACAAACAAAAGCUAUUAGAGCCCGACCGAUAUUAUCAGCCAGCGCAUUUGAGCCUUUAAAUGUGCAUUUAUGUUUUACAUUUUAUGUCAA